UACGUAGGGCGCAAGCGUUAUCCGGAAUUAUUGGGCGUAAAGCGCACGUAGGCGGCUUUGCAAGUCGGAUGUGAAAUCCCUCGGCUCAACCAAGGAAGUGCAUCCGAAACUGCAGAGCUUGAGUACUUAAGAGGAUCGCGGAAUUCCCGGUGUAGAGGUGAAAUUCGUAGAUAUGGGGAGGAACACCGGUGGCGAAGGCGGCCACCUGGACGGUCACUGACGCUGAGACGCGAAAGCGUGGGUAGCAAACAGG
rnacentral:rRNA from 1 species